rnacentral:rRNA from 1 species
CAUGCAAGUCGAACGAUUUUGAUUUAUCAGAAUAGUGGCAAACGGGUGAGUAAUACGUAAGUAACCUACCUCUAAGUAUGGGAUAACCCCGGGAAACCGGAGCUAAUACCGUAUGUGAUGGUGGAGGUAAAGCUCCACCAUUAAAGCCUUUGGGCGCUUGGAGAAGGGCUUGUGUCCGAUUAGCUAGUUGGUGGAGUAACGGUUCACCAAGGCCGAGAUCGGUAGCUGGUCUGAGAGGACGGUCAGCCACACUGGGACUGAGACACGGCCCAGACUCCUACGGGAGGCAGCAGUGAGGAAUUUUGUGCAAUGGGCGAAAGCCUAGACACAGCGACGCCGAUGUGGGGGAUUGAAGGCUUUCGGGU